AAGACUGUGCUUCACAGGAUCAUUUCUGUAGGCUAGUUUUCAACACAAGUUUUUUCCGAAAGGAAAAGAUUCCCACCCACGAUGAUGAGACAUAGUGGCCAGCCCUGAGCGUGAAAAUUGGUCCGAUUGUGUUCGGUCAGCAAUGGCUGAACUGCGGACUGUUGAUGAUCGUGCUCAUUCGUAGGGGUUGGCUGCGGUCUGAGUGGU